GAACGGGCCAGAGAUUGCCAAGAAAGAUUACAGGGAGUGUGCCGAGCUCCGGAGUCAUUUCUGCUCCGAUGACUGUUAUGUUCUGGCAAACAAUGAUGUCACUUAGGUAAACAGUCCUUCUGUUCAGAUCUCCCACGGAAUCAUCUGUGUACAAAUGUUUUUCUCAUGAAACCCCAAGUUUGUAGAGUCAUUGUCCUCCCCUCAUCACCUCUGUUUUUCCUCUGGCUUCUGGACAUCCAAGGUGCUGACUGAGUGCUGUACAUUGUACACUGUCACACUGCACAGUAAGCACUUGAACGUUUGCAACUCAAAUGUCUGUAUGAUUUUAAUGGCCUCAUCCUGGAGACAAUAUUUGGUGGUGAAUACUGUGUGCCACUGAUGGAAAAGCUGCCUAAAUAAUAGUCAGGACAUUGCUAGUAGCCAGAAAAUACAUGCCAGAUGAUCAUUCUUCCACAUUGAUGAGGACUGCUGAGUUGGAGUGACUGAAUUUGCAUUAUUUUUGCCUAAGAUCAACUGGCUGCCACAUCUAUGAUUAUGGAGUUGACCCACGCUAUCAGACCUGAUACAGUGAUGAAGAAACAUAGAAGUGCUACCUUGGUGAACAUAGGCAUUUUUUCCAGUUACACUGAAAUAAAUGCAGUUAUAAAUGUUACCCAUUUAAAAAUCUUUUCCUUUGUCAUAUUCCAC